AACGCGAAGAACCUUACCUGGGUUUGACAUCCCCGGACAGCCGUAGAGAUACGGUUUCCCCUUCGGGGGCCGGGAGACAGGUGCUGCAUGGCUGUCGUCAGCUCGUAUCGUGAGAUGUCGGGUUAAGUCCCUUAACGAGCGCAACCCUUAUCCCUAGUUGCCAUCAUUCAGUUGGGCACUCUAAGGAGACUGCCGGUGUUAAGCCGGAGGAAGGUGGGGAUGACGUCAAGUCCUCAUGGCCUUUAUGUCCAGGGCUACACACGUGCUACAAUGGUCGGUACAAACCGUCGCAAACCCGCGAGGGGGAGCUAAUCGGAAAAAGCCGGCCUCAGUUCGGAUUGGAGUCUGCAACCCGACUCCAUGAAGCUGGAAUCGCUAGUAAUCGCGGAUCAGAACGCCGCGGUGAAUACGUUCCCGGGCCUUGUACACACCGGUACUA
rnacentral:rRNA from 1 species